AAUCGCUUAGCGGAAGAGGCGGCCUGGAAGAGGGAAGUCGCGGUUUUCUCGGGAAGGACUGGAGAAACUUUCGCUCUGCUGCGCUGCAUAGCGGCCCAAAGGGGUGAAGGGUCAGUCCGCGAGGUUUUGGUCAUGGCGCUCGCCGCUCGCCUCUCGCACUUUCUCCCUUGGGCACGUGCCGUCUUUCCCGGACCUUGGCGCUCGAGGGGUGUUGCUGGCUGCCGCGGACUGUGCUGUACUUGGCGACUCCGCGGCUCUGAGGUGAUGGGAAAUCUAGGAUCUUUCAAAAGAAGCUUUUUAUUCUCAGCUUUACCUUAUUUGGGUUUUGAAACAUUUCAAGUAUUUUCCCAGGCUGCUUUGGUUCAUGCCACAGCUAAAGUUUUCAGAGUUGAAGAAAUUCUCGAACAAGCAGAUUACCUAUAUGAGAGUGGAGAAACAGAGAAACUUUAUCAAUUGCUGACUGAAUACAAGGAAAGUGAAGAUGCAGAGUUACUGUGGCGAUUGGCACGGGCAUCACGUGAUAUAGCUCAGCUUAGUGGGACCUCAGAAGAGGAGAAAAAACUCUUGGUCUAUGAAGCCCUAGAGUAUGCAAAAAGAGCACUGGAAAAAAAUGAAUCCAGUUUUGCAGCUCAUAAGUGGUAUGCAAUCUGUAUUAGUGAUGUUGGAGAUUAUGAAGGCAUCAAGGCUAAAAUUGCAAAUGCCUACAUUAUCAAGGAGCAUUUUGAGAAAGCAAUUGAACUGAACCCAAAAGAUGCUACCUCAAUUCACCUUAUGGGUAUUUGGUGUUACACAUUUGCUGAAAUGCCUUGGUAUCAAAGAAGAAUUGCUAAAAUGCUGUUUGCAACUCCUCCUAGUUCCACCUAUGAGGAGGCAUUAGGCUACUUUCACAGGGCAGAGCAAGUGGAUCCAAACUUCUACAGCAAAAACUUGCUUCUUUUAGGAAAGACAUAUUUGAAGUUACACAAUAAAAAGCUUGCUGCCUUCUGGCUAAUGAAAGCCAAGGACUAUCCAGCACACACAGAGGAGGAUAAACAGAUUCAUAGGAAGUUGGGGAAAAAAAGGUAGAGAUCCCAGAGGUAAACCUGUAACUACAGUACAAUAUCAAAACCAGGCAUAGUGAGCCUGUCUAGCCCAGCACAGGACAAGGAUGGGAAAAGAGGAGAGAAGAAUUUUAAAAAGAUACAUACUCAAGCAUCAAGAUUUAAUAAUUUUUUUACUGCUUCAUAAAGAACAAUUUUGAAAGAAACUGGCUCCCCCCGCCCCGCCCACCACUGCUUUGCUUUGAACUGCAGGUGUGCGGUAUUGAAGAAUGGAGACAGCAUUCUGGUGCCACUGCCUUGAUUUUUGCUGAGGCACCAGCAGUUUUACCCACCAUUGCUUUUGCACUCUUAAGUGCAAGUAUCAAAACAAUAAAAAGGCAAAUUACUGCUUAGUAUGAAAAUAGUUCUGACCUCCUGAAAGAACCAUGUACCUCCUAAGCUACCAUGUUUUGCCUGGAUGACUCUUAACAGUUCUGGUAACUAAUCUCCCUGCCUUCAGUCUUGAAUCUAAUUCCUCCCUCCUCUGUUGCCAGAGUGAUUUUUCCUGAAUCUCAUUAGUUUCUAUUUAAGACUCUUCAAAAGCUUCUAAUUGCCCUUAGAGUGAAAUCUAAGUUCCUUAUAAUCGCCUACAAGGCUCUACAUAAUUUAACCCCUGCCUACAUUUCCAAAUUCUUUUUAUCCCUGUCUCCCCUCAUUGACUAACUGCCAGUCACACCAGUCAUCUUUCAUUUCCUUGAAAAACAAUUUCUUACUUUAAGGUCUUUGGAAUGCACUUUUCCUGUUUCUUCCUGCACCAUGCUAUUUAUCAAACUCAAACAUUAUCUUUUCUGAGAAAUCUCCCUGACCACACAAUCUAGGAGGUUCCCUCUAGUUCUUUUUUACAACACCCUCUUUAUUUCCUUUGAAGGACCUUCUUAGUAUUCAAAUAGUUGACUUGUUUGUCAUUUGUGUUCCUUUCUCCCAAUGGAGUGCAAACUACAUAAAAAGGCAGGGAGCACUUCAGUCUUAUUUUAUACAUACUGGUUAUUCUAAAUAAUUGUUUAAUCAAUGGAUACAUUUCUUAGUAUAGUAACCAAGUAGAAAUCAUUCCAAAGUUAGGGUGCCAUAUUAGUCUGUUCUAAAAACUGAAAUUCUAGCUACUUUGAUAAGUAAGAACUUAUACUGGAUCUUACAUAUUAAAAAAAAAAAAAAAAAAAAAAGAUUUUCUGGCCUUCACCUUCCUAUUUAGGAUUCUUGAACUUACCACGUGUGGCUUCUUGGUAACCAGGUGUCUUUGCCAACUUUUUCAAUGCAAAAUUUUUGAGGCCCAUUACUUCCUAAACCAGGAAGAUAAGACAAAAUUUAUCUGGUUCUUCAAACUUUUUGGUUUUGACAACUAGUUAUAUAACAGAACAUGUCACAUAGUCCUAUGACUAAUACAGAAUACAAUGUAAAUCACUUCUGCCUAGAGAAGGUUCUUAUUGCUGCAGAAAUCCAGCAAUAAGAAUUAAAUCAGUGGAAAGAGAAGUAGCUCUAAAGAAUUUUGCUCCCUUCACAAUCACCCGAAGGAGCAAAGCAAUGGCCAACCAGACAAUGUAAGCGGCUUCCAUUUUUGUCUUACAAAUGGACUUGAUAUUAACCAUUAAUUAGUCUUUCUUCUGGUAGAUACCGUGUAGAGAGCACAGAAGAAUAAUCCUUAGAUUCAAGUCUAUUGUGUGUCUAAAGGCCAUUAUUAUCACAAAAUUAUCUACAGAGAAACUGCAGUAAAACUGCAUUUACCCAUGAGCUCAGCAAAUCCUCCUAGAGGUAAACGGCAGGUUCCGGUGACAAACUGUAAUAGUCGCAUCCUUACUUCAUUGUCUGUCUCCUUCACAAACUGUGUAACAAAAUCAAAUUUACUUUAAUAUCAAUACUAAAUUAUCUCUAGUACUUAAAACAGUGGAUACUUAAAUUAUUCUUAAAUUUCUUCAAGAAUUUAUUCAGGUUAGGCAUAUGUUAAGUACACCACGAAUGUUCAGUUAAUCCGCACAAGCAUACCACUGGUCGGCCACUACUAUUAUUACAUCCAUUUUAUGCAGAGGAACAUGGGAGGCUUCAAAAGGUCAUACCACCAAAAGGUAACAUGUUGAUCGGCUACAAUAUUACAGCUAUCACUGGUUUAGGGCUCCUGCCAAGGCCUGUGCCAUAUGCUCUGUGUGUGUUUAGCACUUACAAUAAUACCUACAGAUAGAUACUAUCAUUAGCAUCCCUACUGUAUAUAUAAGCAAACAGAGGACUAGAGAUUGUUGUUCUCAAACUGCUUAAGUGGCAGAACAUCUGAACUCAGGUCCCGUCGAGCUCUAACCCAGUUAUCCUGACCUGAGUCAACUACCCUUCUCUCCUAUAAGCUACCAAAAACAAACGAACACUUCCCAAUCGCCCAUUCUCAAUAGUUUGCGGCAUUUUCUCCCACUAAAUACUAUUUUCUCAACUCUUUGGAUUCUUUGUACUUGAAAACUUAAACUAUGCAUUUUGUUAAAAUACUUGGUACAUUUACUAUCCUUUCAAAGAGGGACAUAAAUGUGUAAUGUGGUGGAAUAUAGAUUUGAAUUGGUGGUAUAGAAGGCAAGUGAACUUACAGGGCAGUCUGAGUAGAAGUGUAUCUUAAAAAAAAUUUAUAAAAAGUAAACAAAAAUAUAAUUUAAGGAUAAGACAAAAAGUGCUAAUGAUGAUCAAAAACAUUUCUAUAUAGAACCGUGCUGAGGUACACAUUUCAUCAAGACACAAGGAACAGAGAUUAGCACAUCUGGCAUAAACCAACCCAUUUCCUAAUCACUUGGAUUUACAUGACUCUAAGCUCAAGCUCCUCAGGUACACAGAUACAGAUGUCCAAAGGGAAAGUCAGGGAACAUGAAGGAGUGAAGAAGCUAGUAAAGAGCUGAGAAAGGAAGAUUGCAGACACCUGCAUACUUUCUGUAUGUGAUGCAAUUCAGAUAUUUUAGGCCUGAAAAUUGAUUUAUCCCUACUUUUUAAUUUUUUAUUCAUUAUUAUUAUUUUUUUGUAAGCUCUAUGUCCAAUGUGGGGCUUGAACUCAUGACCCUGAGAUCAAGAGUCACAUGCUCUACCGACUGAGCCAGCCAGUCACGCCUUGUUUUUUAUAAUAGGUAAUAGAUACACACAGCACACAGUAUAGAAUUCAAAGGUAGUAAAAGGUACAGUAUCAAGAGUUUUCACACCUCAUGGCCAGUUUUUUCUCAACCUUUUCAAAGAUGGCGUAUUCAUAGACACUUGGCCCUUGAACAACGCAGGGGUUAGAGGAGCUGACCCCGCAUGCAGUUGGAAUCUCAGGGAAAUCCACAUACAACUUUUGACUCCCCAUAAUUUAAGUAAUGGUCUAUUGAUGAUCAGAAGCCUUACUGAUAACAUAAAUAACACAUAUUUUGUAUAUAUAGUAUAUACUAUAUUCUUAUAAUAAAAUAAGGUAGAGAAAAGUUACUAAGAAAAUCAUAAGGACAAUACAUUUACAGUACAGUGCUGUAAAAAAAUCGACAUAUAGGGUGCCUGGGUGGCUCAGUCGCUAUGCGUCUGCCUUUGGCUCAGGUCAUGAUCCCAGGUCCUGGGAUCGAGCCCCGCAUCGGGCUCCCUGCUCAGCAGGGAGCCUGCUUCUCCCUCUCCCACUCCCCCUGCUUGUGUUCCCUCUCUCGCUGUGUCUCUCUCUGUCAAAUAAAUAAAAUCUUUAAAAAAAAAAAUCAACAUAUAAGUAGACUGGCACAGUUCAAACCCUUGUUGGUCAAGGGUCAGCUGUACCAGCAGACACUUAGAAUAUACAGAAUAUAAAUUUUCCUUUUAACCAAAUAGCACAUUAUACACACCUUCCUUUUCCCUUUAAAAUUAUACUGAAACAUCUCAUUCUCCAAUAUUUUUGUUAAUUUGCAUUAAAAAAGAAUGAUUACAAGGUACAGAAUUACAGAACAGGUAUUCUGUAAUUUAUUUACUCAGUCUCCUCCCAAUGGACAUUUAGGAAUUUGGAGUCUCUGUUUAGUAUACCAGUAAUGGUGCAAAAAUUAUCUAGUAUGUGCCAUUUUGCAUAUGUUGAAGUAUAAGAUAAGUUUGCAGAAAUGUCUACAUUUCUUUAAAGUAUUAAUAAAUAAAUGGCACAUAUCCUUAUGAAAAGAUUCCACUUCUGGAAAGUCUUUCUCUAGUAAUAAGCAGGCUUAGUUUUCACUUGAAAAUGAAAGUACAGCAUACGUAAACCAGAAGUUCAGUCACUGAAUCGCUCAAAUGAGUCUCAAUUACUGGAUUUUCGUGAAGAAUAUCCCUGGCCUAGAGAUUUUAAGUUCUCAAACACACAAAAUGCAAACUCCAGUACAAUGUGCUUCAAGAUCAGCAUGCAGGACUUGGAUGAGACCACUCUAUUCUAUAGUUUAAGCUAAAAUACCAACACCAAGAAAGGGAGUAAGGGAGAGAAAAAAGAAAAGGAAGUCAUUCUUGGGCAUUGUCCUCUAGAUUAUUCUAAUUCCCUAGCAUAUUAUCGCCUUCAGAGGAAUUAAGUAUCUGCAUUGACUUUCUCACUAAAAAAACAUACUACUGGGACGCCCGGGUGGCUCAGAAGGUUAAGAGUCCUUGAUCUCAGCCCAGGUCUUGAUCUCAGGGUCGUGGGUUUAAGCCCCACACUGGGCUCCAUGUUGGGCAUGGAGCUUGCUCAAACAAACAAACCAAAGAAAACCUGCUUCCUCAUUUAACUUCCAGAAUUAAGUAGAAUUUAUAGAAUACUUUGAUACUACUAGGAACAAUAUGCUAUACUACAAGUAUUACCAUUAAACUACUACUUAAAGAAGAUUCUGUCAUUCAUUCUCCCAUUUGGGAAAACAAUCAAAAUAAGCAAUGGAAACUCCCUUAAUAAAUGUUCAUAUAUUCAACUUCUGAUUUAUAAUUCAAAGACUAAAAACCAUGUCCAAAGGCAGUUUCAGUUUUAAAAAUGAACUGUUUUUUAAACCACUGUCUCAUGAGGAAACAUUCUUUGAACCUUUGUUUCAAAAUAAAAGCAAAUACCUGCCAAAACCAAAUGAUUUGCUUGCUGUUUCUUGUAUAAUGUCGAUACACAGUAUUUCUCUGCCAAUCUGCCAAGUCAACCUCCUGCAUGCCACACAACAUAACCUGGGAAAUGAGCACAGUAGCAGGUCACAGUACAGACUUAGUGAAGAGAAUAACUAUAUGACUCAGAUUUGCCAAUGAAUACCUAUGCACCUGCCUAAUUAUGUGAACAGCUAGGUACGUGACAACUAAUGAUCACAGUAAGCAGAUCCAACAAAAUUUGUAGCAAUUUAGAAUAAGCAUUCUUUGGUACUUUAUCUUUUAUAUUUACUGAACUCAAACUGACAGCACUUGGAGUUACUAUUCUUCAAGAAAACCAUUAGCUAUGCUAAAAGAAUGUCUUACUAAAAAUAUAUCCCAAAUUAGGUGUCCAAAUUAUUGUUAGGUUUCAAACAUAAAUUUCUGGUUCUUUUUUCUUUUUAAUCUAAUGCCAUUUUCUCUAUUUAAAGUUAAAAAUAUACUAAUUCCUGUUACUAAUUUUUCCAGGCUUUGGGAAUAAAAUAUUCUAUGUGAAAUUUUCAAAUAAGCCCAGGGUAUUACAUAUGGGAUGAAAGCUCUUUUUGGCAUAAUGAGAUAGUCUGAUACUUAUUUCCUUUCUCAUUAAUUAACGUUGAGCUGCAAUUUAUAUGCAAUAACAUGCAGGUGUUUUAAGUACAGAGUUAGGGGUGCCUGGGUGGCUCAGUUGGUUGAGCGACUGCCUUCGGCUCAGGUCAGGAUCCUGGAGUCCCAGGAUCGAGUCCCGCAUCGGGCUCCCUGCUCGGCAGGGAGUCUGCUUCUCCCUCUGACCCUCCCCCCUCUCAUGUGCUCUCUCUCUCUGUCUCUCUCUCUCAAAUAAAUAAAUAAAAUCUUUAAAAAAAAAAAAAAAAAAAAAAA